rnacentral:rRNA from 1 species
UGGGGAAUAUUGGACAAUGGGCGCAAGCCUGAUCCAGCCAUGCCGCGUGUGUGAAGAAGGCCUUCGGGUUGUAAAGCACUUUUGUCCGGAAAGAAAUCCAAUCGAUUAAUACUCGGUUGGGAUGACGGUACCGGAAGAAUAAGCACCGGCUAACUUCGUGCCAGCAGCCGCGGUAAUACGAAGGGUGCAAGCGUUACUCGGAAUUACUGGGCGUAAAGCGUGCGUAGGUGGUUUGUUAAGUCUGAUGUGAAAGCCCUGGGCUCAACCUGGGAACGGCAUUGGAUACUGGCUUACUAGAGUGCGGUAGAGGGUAGUGGAAUUCCCGGUGUAGCAGUGAAAUGCGUAGAUAUCGGGAGGAACAUCCGUGGCGAAGGCGACUACCUGGACCAGCACUGACACUGAGGCACGAAAGCGUGGGGAGCAAACAGG